rnacentral:lncRNA from 1 species
GAGGAGAAGACACCCUGUAGGUUGCUGGGGAGGUGGUAAGCAAAAGGAUGUUGUACCAUAGCCUAUUUACUCAUCUGGGGAUGAGUUCCAGCCAUGCUCCUUAACUUUUUGAGUUUUUUUACUAUCUGGUGAUGAAAACUCAUAUGAAGGGCUACAUCAAAUGUGUAUGGGACCCUUACAGUGGGAUAAAUAUUGCUAUCAGGUAUCAAUUAGGUUUGUGUUAGAGAACCAUUGGCUUUUAUUUCCUUUUUUUCUUGUCCACUAAUGUGCUCGCAUUUACUUUACAAAACAUACAUAAGCUUCUACGCCUGGAGAUUAAAUUGUUUGUAUUGGGGAUUGACACUACAAACUUAGCAACCGGGUUACAGGCACAAAACUCUGAGCUACUUAGACACAAUACAGAGAGCCAGGUUUUGUGCCACUGCUGGGGACAAGGCUAGCAACCAUUAAGAACAGACACACAUUCACACUGAGUUACCCUUCUGUGACCGUUGCAACCUGCAGCGCGAAAAUGCAUUGAAAGAAAUGCCAGAAAAGGUUGCGUCUGUGACAUUGUGGUGAACAUCUGUACUCAUUUUUAUCUGAGAGUGAAGCUGAAGCUCUUCUCUUCUUCCCUCAAUUGCUCACAAUCUUGUAAUUAUUUUUUUCUAUUGGAAUUAUUCUUCUGUGAAGGUUGUGGAAGGGAAAAAAUGACCACUGAAAACCUAUCUGCUUUUGCUUAGCUUUUUAACCUGUUUUUGCCUGCCUGCUCUUCCAAGAGAGUACUACAAUGACAGACCCUUCAGUGGUGGAUCACCUGACACGACUGAAACUCAAACUCCUAGAAAAGAGACUAGAAAAUGAACGGGAGGACCUAGAGAAGAUGGAGUCACCUCUCCCAACCGCAAGUAAAAGAGAAGCAUUUGUUCUAAUUACAGACAUGAUUCAGAAAGGGCUUAGUAAUGUUCUCAGGCAUGAGUUCCUCAGCAGGUCACACCAUAUGAUCACAUCUCCUCCUUAAAAGCUGGAAGGGGCCUCUGUGAACUCAGUGGUUGGGCAUUUGGGUAGUCAGAACUUGCUCUGUCUUGGCUUCUGUGACAGGGACAUUUUUGGCAUGGCAGGAGAGAGACUUUGAACUAGAGUGAGUGCUGCUCCAGCUCAGCCUGCAGCCCUGGGGAUUAGAAGUAGCAAAAAUGAGAGUU